rnacentral:tRNA from 1 species
GUUUUAAUAGUUUAAUAAAAACAUUGGUUUUGUAAACCAAAUAUAAAAUAUUUAUUUUUUAAAAUA